UACGGGGGGAGCAAGCGUUGUUCGGAUUUACUGGGCGUAAAGGGUGCGUAGGCGGCUCUUUAAGUCAGUGGUGAAAUACUGCAGCUCAACUGUAGCAUUGCCAUUGAUACUGAAGAGCUUGAGUACAGAUGAGGUAGGCGGAAUUUAUGGUGUAGCGGUGAAAUGCAUAGAUACCAUAAAGAACACCGAUUGCGAAGGCAGCUUACUAAGCUGUAACUGACGCUGAGGCACGAAAGCGUGGGGAGCGAACAGG
rnacentral:rRNA from 1 species